rnacentral:lncRNA from 1 species
AUUUAACGUUUCCUCCUUCACUGCUCCGGAGUCUAAGCGCUUCCUCACACAGAGCUUCCCAUGAACCACUUCAAAGCCUGUUCUACGGAAAACGGGAAUAACACUAAUUUUAGCUCCAAUUGUUAUACUUCCAAAGAGGCCUUUACAAAGGGUUGAGUUGGACUGGUUUUAAAAAAAAUCUAUAACAGAAAAUAGACUGGUUCGAAAGUGAUUGGUCUUAGGAAGAGGAGAGCUCAGCUCAGCAUGGCCCGAUGGAGAAGGGAAGAGGAACUAGCGAUGAUUAUAUCUAUGCUUUCAUCGGAGGCUCCCAAAGCACCUGAAACCAACUCUCAUUACCGUUGCCUUAAAUAGAUGAAGCCGUCGAGAUACACUGAUGGCUUUCUUCAGAGAACAUAAUCAAUUUACCAAUGGAGCCCCGAGGCUGCCCCCAAUUUCCUUGGGUAAUAUAUGUUAAUGAUCAAGCAAAGGUGACUUCUGAAUUAUUUAAGAAAUGAGAGGGAAUGAAAAUCAUCCAAGAGUUAAGGAUUACGGUCUUCUCUAUCUCCUCCGCCUAUGGUGUCCGGAUACCAAUCACACCAACGUUGUUCCUUCUAGAGUCUUUCAUUGUGCACAGAUAUGAAGCUGCAAGCUACUAAAUGGCCACCAACCAGAUGUGACAGUGAGACUAUACCGAGGGAUAUUUGGAACUCAAAGGGCUUCUAAAAUAAGGACUUGAACUUGAAAUAAAUAACAAAUAGAGAAAC